GGCCGGGCCCGGGCGGGUGGUGGCGGCGGCGCGGCCUGGGCUGUGCGUGGGCCGCGGAGGGCGCGGGGCUGAGCCGCCCCCGAGUGAGCGCAUCGCGGGCUGAGGAGUGCGGGGAGAAGGAGGGCGGCUGGAGCUCCGCUGAGCACUUCGGAGUCCCGGCUGAGGGGCAGUCUGCCCUAGCUCCAGCUCGGUUCCGCCGGGCAUGCUGCCCUCCUCCCCUGCCUGGUGUGCUUCGUGCCCUUCCCGUCUGUGACAGUGGGAGGUGAUAACCCAAACCCUUCCUUUGUGGAUGACAGAACAGUUAAAGCUUUCCUCUGCUGCGGGCUGACUGAUCAGCCAAAGCCUUCACACAUGGCUGUGCUCAUGCCCGUUGGGAUGCCAGUGUUGGGGGAGGGGAUGAAGAGCUGAACAUAGCAGCUCUGGAGAGAGCUCAUCCAUGCCGCUGGUGCAAGGUGCCAUCCCCUCCAUGCUGCCGUGCCACAGAGAUCCUCUGCCACUGCAUUGUCUUCUUUGGUACAUGGAGUCUGAGCUGCCUGGCCUGUGGACACCUCAGGAGCAGCUGGUCCAGCUGUGCUCUCAUCCAGUGACUGCCAGCUUGGAGGCAGGAGUGGUUUUAGAAGUCUUGUGGACAGCUUUAUAUUCACUUACCCCUUCCUGAGCAGGAGCUUCUGUGGGGAGUCUGUACCUCGGUGUAGAGUUCUGGUGCUCUUCUCCUAACAGGAGAAGCCAGGUGGUUGGGAGGUCAGAAGACACCUGAGCAGCUAACUCAUUGCUUUUGAGUUGUGGCUGUGGCUUGGGGUCACUGAACAUGUGUUAGAAGACUUGCUGGACUAGAGCCUGAGCUGGCUGCUGGAUGGGUGACACAAGUGUCUGAUGAGCACUUCUGCCUUCCCAAAGGACACAGGAAUAAGGGAGAGAGACUGAUGGGUUAGGAAAGAAACUAAACCAGCUGGGAUGGAAAGAAGAACAAUCCCACAAAAUAGAGACAGAGAGAAACAAACCAAUAUGGAACCCAGUCCCUGAUGGUAGUAGAGGGUCACCACUGAUGCUGGGGUCAGGCACUGGGGAAGUCUCAGGCUGGAUUCAGCAGCAGAUGGGAACCAGAUUCAGGAACUGGAUUCUGGGAAUGGACUCAGGAACAAGUGGAUCAGUGUGGAAAGUAGAAUGGACAGAGUCAUUGCUCCAUUCCCCUCAUCAUCCUUGCAGCCCUCUGCUGAACUCUCUCCAGCAGUUCCCUGUCCCUCUGCAACUGGGGAGCCCAAAACUGUUCUCUGAUCUGUAGUCUAAGGAGAGGGCAGUGAAGAGGGAGGUAGGUAAAGAACUACCAUCUAAUACUGGCACCACAGUCCUCAUCAGACACCAGACACUGAAGAAGAGGCUUGGUCUGCUCAGGGGCAACUCUAAGGCAGAGCCUUUCUGCAGCCCUUGGCAGGAUCGCUCCCAAUUAGCUUCUCUCCCGUACCAGCAGCUCCUGGCUGUGCAGAUCUGCCCUGAACUGCAGAAGGUACUUCAGUGAGAAGAGACAGAGCUGGGCAGUGACAGCACUGAGCAGAACUGGUUCUGGCCUAGCUCACACUAGGACAUUUGUAGUUGAGUUCCAGCAGUGGAGUGUUGAGCAGCUCCAGGGCUGCGGUAGUGUGAUUGUAAUGAGCAGGAGGAGGAAUGCCUGUGUGGUACCUGACUGUGGAGAAGUCACCAAGUUGUAAGCCCAAAGGUUGGUUUAAUAAAAGUAGUGUUUGAUGAAA